AGCGGCGGAUGGGUGAGUAACACGUGGGGAACCUGCCCCUAAGUCUGGGAUACCAUUUGGAAACAGGUGCUAAUACCGGAUAAUAAAGCAGAUCGCAUGAUCAGCUUUUGAAAGGCGGCGUAAGCUGUCGCUAAGGGAUGGCCCCGCGGUGCAUUAGCUAGUUGGUAAGGUAACGGCUUACCAAGGCGACGAUGCAUAGCCGAGUUGAGAGACUGAUCGGCCACACUGGGACUGAGACACGGCCCAAACUCCUACGAGAGGCAGCAGUAGGGAAUCUUCCACAAUGGACGCAAGUCUGAUGGAGCAACGCCGCGUGAGUGAAGAAGGUUUUCGGAUCGUAAAGCUCUGUUGUUGGUGAAGAAGGAUAGAGGUAGUAACUGGCCUUUAUUUGACGGUAAUCAACCAGAAAGUCACGGCUAACUACGUGCCAGCAGCCGCGGUAAUACGUAGGUGGCAAGCGUUGUCCGGAUUUAUUGGGCGUAAAGCGAGCGCAGGCGGAAAAAUAAGUCUAAUGUGAAAGCCCUCGGCUUAACCGAGGAACUGCAUCGGAAACUGUUUUUCUUGAGUGCAGAAGAGGAGAGUGGAACUCCAUGUGUAGCGGUGGAAUGCGUAGAUAUAUGGAAGAACACCAGUGGCGAAGGCGGCUCUCUGGUCUGCAACUGACGCUGAGGCUCGAAAGCAUGGGUAGCGAACAGGAUUAGAUACCCUGGUAGUCCAUGCCGUAAACGAUGAGUGCUAAGUGU
rnacentral:rRNA from 1 species